UUAGCCGUUUUCUUCCCUUUCGGCUUAAACUUCAAUUCAAUCUAAUCGACUCUUGGGUUCUUGCUGCGUCGUUCCUGCUUUUCCUUACGAUCUUGAUCAAUUGAAUUGCUAGUCCAGUAUGGUGGUGUGUGAGUGUGUCAUUCGGCAAGAGGGCAAAGGAAAAAAAAAACGAUCGUGAGUGGAGGGAGAAUGUCGAUUGCGAGGAUGUGGAGGGGUUAGGUCGUCGAAACUAUUUGUAGGGUGCAAUUGAGGCUUGAAAUCCAUCACUUUUACUUGGUGGGGUAUUGAGAACUUCAAGUAAGUACAAGUCUUGGAAUAGAAGGAGGAUUCCAUCAAGGCUAAAGGAGGAAGAAGAAUUGUAGUUGCCGACCUUAAAUUGAUGUGUAGAGCACAACAAUGUUGAAUCGUCAGUACAGAAGAAUGAUAUCAAUGAGUACAAUUACAAAUGUAUAGAGUGGAGGUAUAUAUGAAGCCUAUACCUAUCGAAAUAAAAAAUUGAAAGGAUCGGAUUCCUGAUUUUGUGCUCAUCAAUUGAAUUCAAAUAUAGGAUGAUGAUAUUUUUGGAAUACAAUAAAGCAGUAACGAAACAAUAUUUGUCGAAGUUUUCUGGUGAAGGGGACAAUGUUUCUAAGCAAAGGACAAGCAACAGACGAAGAAUUAUUUGACGAUGAAAUUGAUGCAUGAUAAUGGUAAGUAUUUGAAUAUGGUAUGUGUAGCAUAUUAUGUUAAAAUACCACAUCAGUUACAUAUAUGUCGAUAUAAACGGAUUAAAGGCUAAAUGGCAACGUAGGAGGGCAAAAAUGGAAUUUAACAUUACAGGGAAAUCGAAGGUGUAAGUGACACGUGGUAGUUUGGAGUCCUUUUUUAGUAAGGAUGUAGAUGUUUCAUCAUAAAAUGAAUGGUUGACCCAUUUGGGUUUGUAUGUUUUAUGUGCAACCUUUAUGAACUCACUCAAUAGGGGCUGACACUUGUAUCUUUUCUCUUUUAUGCCUUGUGAUUGGUGUAGGCAGCUUAGGAGUUUGGCCUUGG